GUUGAAACACCGGUUCUUGUACGAUCACUGACGUUAAGCAACGUCGAGCUUGGUCAGUACCAAGAUGGGUGACUGCUUGGGAAUACAACUUGCU